rnacentral:lncRNA from 1 species
AGUGGCGGCUGCCCGCGAAGUCGGUGCCGCCAGGCGGGUGCGGACGCGAGGCGGGGGCCGGAGCCCCGGGCGGACGCGGAGCCGCCAGGGCAGCGGUGGCGGCGAGCGUUGCCAUGCCAGUGUGCAGUGUUUGUUGCCUGCGGUUAUUUUAGGACUAAGUGGUUUUCUGAAAAGUUACUUGGGAGAGAGGAAGCCGCCCGGAUCGUCAGGAGCCCCUUCCCUGGUGUGUGCAGGAAAUGGGUUGAUCUUUCCCACGGGCGCACAGCCGAAUCGAUGCCCGGUGGACUUUAAAAAUAAAUGCGGCACCCCGAAGCCCCGAGCAGCGAGGUGACGCCUGCGUGACGGGUUUCAGGUGUCAGACUCCGUGUGCGCGGAGAAAAAUAGAAGCGGGGCACCGAAGUACUUGAUAUGCUCAAGCUGUCUUCGUUUUGCCAGGAGCUUGGAGCCCGUCGGAGUGGAGCUGGUUAAAGAUGCCUGGGUUGUUAGGUAAUCACGUUGACCCCGGGCCACCUACCAAAGUCACUCGAAGACUGCUACCAGCCAGAACCUUGCAGGUUGGGAAUAAACGGUGCUUUGGCUAAUGGUUUGUCUUUUUUAGUCUUCCACGACCAUACGUUUGCAACCUGUUUACGGGACGAUAGAAUGGAUUGUCUAUAGUUAAAACUACUCUCCACAAAAUUACUUGGCCAUGAUCAGGCACUAGCUCCGACCUACCGAGUGUCUAUGUCUGAACUCUGUGUGGAAAUUUCCAAUAUAAUAGUUUCAAGUUGAUGUGGGAUUUUUUUUUUCCAGCAUAAGUCUAGUGUAAGCAGAUACCAAGUGGGUAAAAUUUAAAUCUCAUCCAAGAAAGCUUCCUGGUUUGUGAGAGGUGCAGACGGUGGUAGUGGAGGAAAUGCCCGAAGGACAAGAGAUGGCAGCUGGCAGACUCAGCAUGCACAAACUUGCUCCUCACCCCUAAGCAUUUCUGAUACGUGGGUGCUUCAUCUGUUGGUUAUGGAUCUUUGGUUGGUUGUCACUUUUUUAAAAAGUUCUCUCAACCGAGGACCCUCACUUUGAAAUUGAGUCUUUGUGGCAUGUAGCCAGGGUAGGUUUCCAGUACAUGAUGUAAGGGGAGAUUCCUUGGGAAUCUUGUUAAUUCUUUCGAUGCACUCACUUUUGUAACUGGUCCUGUUCUUUUAGAUCUCUUUUACAUUUUGGGCCCAUUGGUCAUUACUGACAUAUGUCAGUAUACAGUCUUGUAAUGGAUGCUUAGUUGUAGUAACCUUUUUUCUUGUGACAUAUAAAUAAAUUUGUGUUUUUCUUCUUUCCAUUUCUCUUAAAGGAAACUGUAGAAUUGGGCAGAUCAGCACUUACUCAGCAUAUCCCCCUCCUGUAGGUCUUGUUGACCUUGGUGGCAUCCUGGAGGUCAUGUAUUCAUGGAGAUAAACAGUUCUUGAACAGUUUACUCCAGCUGAUAAAAGACAAAUGGGAAAAUGACUUGACAAAUGCAUAUCUUGAUUUGUUUUGAAAAUCAUUUUUACUCAGCAUUUAUUGCAAUCUCUGCCAAAAAUAUCCUUUGGUAAUUUUUUUUGGAAAUCUAUUUCUAGUUCACACUUAAAAAUCAAUUUAGUUUUCAACUUUUUGUAUUGUUUGUAUAUUCUGUCAUGGAAACAAUUGGUUUGGGGGGGUGACAUUGUAGAGCUUCCUUCAGGGGUAAUAGGACAGUUGUGCUGGGGUGAAUUUUUUGGCUUAUGAAAGCAGCUGUGCUCUAAGAUAUUUGAUAUUUAAAGUUUAAAGUUACAAAACAAUUAGCGGUUAAAUGAAAAUUUCACAAAAGAGAGUCAGUAAAAGGUACUGUCAAAUAAUCCCUUUAUAUGGUACUUAUCAAAGUUUGUUUGAUUUAUGAAAAAUCAGUUGGCAUACAAUUUAGGGACCAACUUUUGAUGUAUGUAGGGGUUAUCAGUGUGUUCCUUAAAUUGUUCCUUCCCUAAAAUCAUCUAGGGGCAAAGCAAUAUUGCCCCAUAUUUAUACAUUACCUAUUAAUGUUUUAACUGAAUGCAAAAUUUGUCAUCUGAUUUAUGCCGUACUAUUUAAGGAGUACACUGAAACCUAAUUAAAAUACUUUUCACCAUUGAGUAAAAUUUUAUGGUCAGGUUUGUCGGGAAUCCCAUCUAAGGUAGUGUACUUACUGUGGUAUCAAAGGCCUUCUUGUCAGACACUCCCCAGGACUGUGAUCCUGCAGCAGAGGCCAACCAGUGGUUAUACCCAGACUUCAGCAAAAUCAAAAUAAAUAGAUUUGGUCAAAAGUCCACAGCAGUAAAAACCGUUACCUUGAAAUUUUCUCUAGGUGCAAAUUCUUCAGAAUUAAAGGCUUGAUUUUUUCCUAAGCGGCAAUUCUAUUUGGGUCACUUGAGAAAAAGGCCAUUUUGAUGAAAGGACAAGGACUGAAUACUCUUUUAAACUUUCAAGGGACCUUUUUUUUUUUUUCCUUUUUGUGAGAGUUUGUUGCGUUCAUUUGGAGUUACAGGAGGUAUUGGAUAAUGUACUUGGGGAGUUUAAUUCGGAUAUAUUUUGCUUUGGUUAUGUUAAAAAAAAAAAAAAAGGAACUUGAGCCAAUGUGAAUAGAACUUACUUAUGGGUUAACUUACACUUUAUGUUGGGAUAAGGAGGAAAAAAGAGAAGUGGCCACAAACUUUACUAAAAGAUAACUAAUCACGUUUGGUUUGUUUUAUACUAUUCAUGCCUCCCUUGGGUAAGAGUGACACCCUUAUCACCUUUCAAUUGUAGAGAAAUUUUGUUUUUAGAGAAGGGAUUUGAAAAAUAAAGAGCCCAGCAUGCAAGCAUAGAAGUGUUAGAAGUGUCUUUAGAGUGCUUAAUGGUAUUUUGUUAUUGUACCUUAGAUAGAAAGUAAGGUGUUAAUGCUGAAGUUGAAUCUAGGGUCCAACUUCAGGAUACUGGGCACAGCUUUAUUCUUCUUAGCAUAAUUGAAUAUUAUGAAAACUGAAGGAACAGCUUGAAUGAUGCCAUUGAUUUUUAGGGCAGGCUUUCCAUUUCUCAAGUGAACAAACAUGAAAAAUGAAGAUUGAAGACACUAUGAUAUUAAAAGGAAUAUUUAAAUUUUUUUUAAGUCUGGAUUGUCAAAGGAUUGUAAAUUUCAGAGCAGAAUGAGGUAAAAGAAAUACAUUCCAUUGGAUUUAUGGCUAAU